CGCGCAGGCGGUUUGCUAAGUCAGAUGUGAAAGCCCGGGGCUCAACCCCGGAAGUGCAUUUGAAACUGGCGGACUUGAGUAUGGGAGAGGGAAGUGGAAUUCCUGGUGUAGCGGUGAAAUGCGUAGAUAUCAGGAGGAACACCGGUGGCGAAGGCGACUUCCUGGACCAAUACUGACGCUGAGGCGCGAAGGCGUGGGGAGCAAACA
rnacentral:rRNA from 1 species